rnacentral:rRNA from 1 species
AGAAUCAACGCUGGCGGCGUGCCUCAGACAUGCAAGUCGAACGCGAAAGUUCCCUUCGGGGGAUGAGUAGAGUGGCGCACGGGUGAGUAACACGUAGGUAAUCUACCUUUGGAUGGGGAAUAACAACCGGAAACGGUUGCUAAUACCGCAUAAUGCAGCGGCACCUAAUGGUGACAGUUGUUAAAGCGGGGGAUCGAAAGACCUCGCGUCUGAAGAGGAGCCUGCGGCGGAUUAGCUAGUUGGUAAGGUAACGGCUUACCAAGGCUACGAUCCAUA